rnacentral:rRNA from 1 species
UACGUAGGGGGCAAGCGUUGUCCGGAAUCAUUGGGCGUAAAGAGCGUGUAGGCGGCUUGGUAAGUCCGCUGUGAAAGUCCAGGGCUCAACCCUGGAAUGCCGGUGGAAACUGUCAAGCUUGAGUCCGGAAGAGGCGAGUGGAAUUCCUGGUGUAGCGGUGAAAUGCGGCAGAGUAUCAGGAGGAACACCAAUGGCGAAGGCAGCUCGCUGGGACGGUACUGACGCUGAGACGGCGAAAGCGUGGGGAGCAAACAGG